rnacentral:rRNA from 1 species
AGGGGGACACCGAGUGCGAGGGCAUAGAGCCCUCGCUUUUGUGUACCGUAAGGUGGUACACGAAUAAGGGCUGGGCAAGACCGGUGCCAGCCGCCGCGGUAACACCGGCAGCCCAAGUGAUGGCCGAUAUUAUUGGGCUAAAGCGUCCGUAGCUGGCCGCGUAGGUCCGUCGGGAAAUCUACUGGCCUAACCAGUAGGCGUCCGGCGGAAACCUCGUGGCUUGGGACCGGGAGACCUGAGGGGUACGUCCGGGGUAGGAGUGAAAUCCCGUAAUCUUGGACGGACCACCGGUGGCGAAAGCGCCUCAGGAGAACGGAUCCGACAGUGAGGGACGAAAGCUAGGGUCUCGAACCGGAUUAGAUACCCGGGUAGUCCUAGCCGUAAACGAUGCUCGUUAGGUGUGGCGCAGGCUACGAGCCUGCGCUGUGCCGUAGGGAAGCCGUGAAACGAGCCGCCUGGGAAGUACGUCCGCAAGGAUGAAACUUAAAGGAAUUGGCGGGGGAGCACUACAACCGGAGGAGCCUGCGGUUUAAUUGGACUCAACGCCGGACAUCUCACCAGCUCCGACAGCAGUAAUGACAGUCAGGUUGAUGACCUUACUCGACGCUGCUGAGAGGAGGUGCAUGGCCGCCGUCAGCUCGUACCGUGAGGCGUCCUGUUAAGUCAGGCAACGAGCGAGACCCGCACCUCUAGUUGCCAGCAGCAUCUUGCGAUGGCUGGGUACACUAGGGGGACUGCCGCCGCUAAGGCGGAGGAAGGAACGGGCAACGGUAGGUCAGUAUGCCCCGAAUGAGCUGGGCAACACGCGGGCUACAAUGGCCGGGACAAUGGGACGCGACGCCGAGAGGCGAAGCCAAUCUCCUAAACCUGGUCGUAGUUCGGAUUGCGGGUUGAAACUCACCCGCAUGAAGCUGGAUUCGGUAGUAAUCGCGUGUCAGAAGCGCGCGGUGAAUACGUCCCUGCUCCUUGCACACACCGCCCGUCAAAGCACCCGAGUGGGGUCCGGAUGAGGCCGUCACACGACGGUCGAAU